CACUGAGUAUCUUCAGAACCCUGGGAACCAUCAGAAGUGACACCCUCUUCGAAUUGAAAG
ensembl:misc_RNA